CACAGAGCAAUGGGAUACUUGAUGGGACAAAGGUGUAGGGGCAGGCAGAGUAGCCCUCUGUACCUUUUAAACUAAAGACAAGCCAACCGAUUUCUACAUUUUAUUUAGUGAAGAGAAAAAAAACAUGUCCAGGUGAGAGGUAACUACUACUUCGUCAUUGCAUCAGUCUCACUCAUGCAGUUUUGAGUUGAGACAACCAGCUUGAAGCUGUUACCCGUAGGUGGUGUCGUGAACACUGCAGUGAUAUGGAGGGCAGGGGUUUUGACACAGGUUGGCAGCGGAGGCCGAAGUCUUUUCCACUAUACAACCCCGUGGACGAUACGCCACCUGGCUGACUUCAACUCACCCAACCUGGGACGGUUGACUUUCAGGGCCUCCUGGACUCAGAGCAGCGUAGGAGAGAUCUGGAAGUCAGUCUGGCUCGGGUCUAAAGUGCCUUACAGAAACAGGCUCAGACUGCUCCAGAGAAUGGGCGAAGGGAGCCGACAUGCACUACCCCAGAUACUUGUUUUGAAUCUUCGGCAGAUCAAACGACCAGUAAAAGUCCAUCCCAGACUGUUAUCAGGGAAUGUCUACAUCCCACCAUGUGGUGACCUUUACAGAAGGACUUUUCUGUCUCAUGUCCUCAGAGUGGGCAGGUUAGAGUUGGACUUGGAGAUCAUUAGCGCCCAACUGGACCAGGUUUUCUGUUCUGGGGGAAAGUGUCUCCACAGGAAUGGACCAUUCCAGCUUGACUCCUGAGCGAGACAACCUUGAGCAUCUGCUGGAGGAGUYUAGGGCCUAGCAGGGGCUGGUGGAGCAGGGAAAGGAUGCCUCAGAGGCCUGUAUGGAAGCCCUCCACUCCCAGCUGUAUUAGGAACGCUUCAGCCUCCAGGAGACCCACAGAGAGAGGCUGGCCACACAGGCAGAGCAACAUGGUAGCAAGCAGGUGGAGCCAUGGGAGACCAAACCAACUAAACUGGUACAGGGAUUCACACCCAAAAUGGAUGCAGGUGGUCCCUUCUACACUUCGUAUUUGUACAGAAGCAUGUUAUCUUGCCAGACRUCUCAGUAGUAUCUAACCCAGGCCUCACCUGUUAAGGCUAACAGAAAACUGAAAGUGGUKGUGAACCAGUAGAAGUCAGGUUUUACCAAUCAUCACACCAGUUGUGAGUAGUCACACAACAGUUGUUUCUAUAAUAAUGCCACAGUAAAGACAUUUACUAUUUUAUGUAACACCGCUUUAUUGGCUGAUGAUCUGCAGAUGAAUGAGUCCCUGUAAAGGGAGGUGGUCUCUCAGACAGAGGCUGGGGUCUKCAGAGGAGUGACCUCCCUGAUGGAGAGUGACAGACGCCUGCUCAGGGUUCUCCUAGCGGCACCGGAGAAUGAGCGGGAGGAGCUGCUUCAACAAGGACACCCCUCAGCCCUUGKAGUGCUGAUAGCUCCAGAACACGAAGAAACAGACUUCUAACGGAGGAACAAAAAACAGUGGUUUGUCAGUCCAAUUUUGAAAUGGUCAGACUUAUAAAGGACGAGCCAGAAGCUCGUCCUUUAUAAUCUUUUUGUCUCUUAGGAGCACUUGGGAAACGAAUGUGGAAAUCUCUGGAAAGGAGGAGAGGGUGAGAGAGGAGAGUGCCGUGUAUGAAAUGGAGGAACAAGAUGAGGAAGAGAGAGCGGAAGGGAAUAAUGUGUCUGUUAUUCAUCUGCAGUCAAAAUUCAGUGAGGACUUAAGAUCCAUGAGGUGACCCACUCUAAGCCUGGCACACAAACAAAUAAAGGAAGAGAACCAGGUAACUGCCUCUUUGGGAGUCCUUUCCUACAGCACCAUGUCACGUUGAAGCAGUCUAACAUGUGGCAGAGUGAUGUUUCCUUUCAAACAUACCUCUCCUCCAAACCCCACUUCAGCAGUUCCCAAACUUUCAUUUCAUAUAUAAAAAUGUUAUAUAACAAACUUUUUAAAAGACUUUUUACCUGGGAUAUUAUUAAGCCAUGGUAUUUAUUAUACUUCAUGUUAAAAUAUCGCUUUAGUAAAGUUCAUGCAACCUGAGAACCAUUUUUAAGCUAAGAUGCUACUUUUUGCAGUUUACUGUGCUACAUGCUUCACCAUCCAGUAUCAUGCCAACACAUGCUGAAUAGACAAGCUAUAGACAUACUUAUGAGUUAUGUGKAUUGUGGAUUUCUGAGGAUUCACUGGCUUAGAAUACUGCUGAUCAAAGAUAAUUCUAGACAGUCUCUGCCUCUGGUCUGUGAGGGGAAAGAGGGGAAUCUGGAGAGUCCAUUCUUUAACAGCUGUGCUCAAAUCUGGCUAUGUAUACAUUAUAACAACCUUAUGUAACAGCAAGCUUGUUACAGCCACAAAGCCCAUGACCAAUGUCCAUUUAUUCAUGUAACACCCCAUUACACUGGUUGACACAGUGCCAUUGUCUUAGUCUGAGGACUCUGACAUGUUCUUAUUUAUUGUUGAGGCUGGUGAGGAGUUUUGAUUUCUGGCUUAAGCUAAUACUAAUCCCUCUCCGAGACUAUUUUCUUUGGCCCUGAGCUUGUGGUCCACGGUGCACUGCCUUUUACUGCCCUGGUCACCGAGGACACAUAAACAUGGAUUCAUGGGAUAUGCAGACUGGGAAGACAUGGUUGGAAUACCGCAGGGCUAGACACUUUCUCUCACCGAUAUGACACUGUCAUUAUGAAAGGACCAAUCAGAUAACAGGGUUAUGACAAUGUCAUUAUGAAAGGACCAGUCAGAGCUGGGUGAUAAUGAUGUCAUUAUGAAGGACUAAUCAGAGAGAAGGGUUAAGACAGAACUACGUUCAGGAUGUAAAGAAAGCACUCUUAGAUAGCAGUAUUUUUCAAAGAAAAAGAUGUAAAGACGGUUAUUUUGUAUUUUCACUUUAUUAUCAUAAUAAUAUAUGCCAGUUAGCAGUUGCUUUUAUCCAAAAUGACUUAGUCAUGYGUGUAUACAUUUUAGGUCUGGGUGGUCCUGGGAAUCAAACCCACUAUCCUUAUGUUGCAUGCACCAUGCUCUACCAACUGAGCUACUUCAUAUUUUCCUCUGUUCUUUUCACUUCCAAGUACACUGCUUACUCAGGAAUAGGUGUUACAUAAUGUUAUUACAUUCAUACUGACCAAUCCUGGCACUUAUUCUUGGAGCAUACUGGACUAAUUUCCCCCUACAGUUCAGCUGUGCUUGCACUAAUUUUAUUUGUUGCAACUGAGAGGUAUGUGCCCAAAACCAUGUACUUAUGGCUGUCUGGCUGAUGCAACGUUGCAUGACUCCACACUGGCACAGACCGCACAGACAAUCCUUCUUGAUUGAGGAAGCUGGAAACUUCCUACUCACUUACUCACACUCUCUCUUUAUUCUUCCAUCUUUUUCUGUUACAUUCUCUUGCUCUCUCUCAUUAUGUGGAAAUGGGAUGAGGACCCUGUCAUGAGAUUUUCCGUUGACGUCAUCACAGUCCAAGAUUUCUCUGUGUUCUCAGUGUAUACUUGUCCCUGUUGCUUUUUAACGGCCCCAUGUCUGCUAAUUUCAACGGAGAUACAAACUGCAGACUUUGGCAAGUCAUCACAACGUCAAACUAGGUAUGUUUCAUGUUAACAUUGCUCCACAAUCGACUCCUGAUAAGUACACUUCAGAUACUGUAAGUGCACUUCAGAUACUGUAAGUGCAAUCUGUUUUAGUGCAAUAAAGUUGCAUUUACCAGACGUUGACUGUAAUCCAAAAUAACUACUAUUCAUACAAUGUUAAUGCAACCCAAUUAUUCCAUGUACAGAACCUGCAGGAGCCCUAGCGCAAAUCUUCAUUUUGAUAACCCAAGAGUUACACCAGCAGGUAAGAAUGAUAACAAAUAGUUAUGUGGAGAUUGAAUAGAUACACCUCCCUGUUUCACAUAAAUGUCUUCCAUGCGUUCCAUUCCAUCUACUACAUAAUGAUGUACUUCGGUUUCGCCGGCGGAGAACGUCCUGGCGGUGAGGCACACUCUUAGAAAAAAAGAUGCUAUCUACAACCUAAAAGGGUUCUUUGGAUAUCCACAUAGGAGACCCCUUUGAUGAACCCUUUUUACUUCCAGGUGGAACCCUUGCCACAGACAGUUCUACAUGGAACCCAAAAGAGUUCUACCUGGAACCAAAAAGGGUUCCCCUAUGGGGACAGCCAAAGAACCCUUUUGGAACAACUUUUUUUUCUAAGAGUGUAGCCACAGAUGGCAGACUUGUUGCCCUUGGGACCAGUAUUUGUCAUGAAGCUUAACUUUAUACCUUCCUUCCUCGUCUGUGUCUCAUCUCAGGACAGAGAGAAGGGGCUGGUAUUGGUCAAUCGCUGGAAUUCAUGGCAGCACGAGCCAAUGGUAGCCAGUCCAGUCAGUUCAUGGCAUCAUCGUAAUCCAAUUCUUAGUAUCACCUCACACCAAGUUGCCCAUAUAUCUAUAUCCAGACCUCUAUACCAGGCGGUCAGACUCCAGCCACCCUAGUCAUAGACUGUUCUUUCUGCUACCGCACGGCAAGCGGUACUGGAGCACCAAGUCCAAGAGGSUUCUAAACCGUUUCUACCCUCAAGCCAUAAGACUCCUGAACAGCUAAUCAAAUGGCUACCCAGACUAUUUGCAUUGCUAUCGUUAUUUACUGCUGUGCUUUAAUUAUUAUUCUUCAGGUAUUUUCUUAACUGCAUUGUUGGUUAAGGGCUUGUAAGUAAGCAUUUCACUGUAAGGUCUACAUUUUAUUUGAUAUCAUGUAAUAACUUGAUUUGUUAGUGUUAGUUAGUGUAGUUACUUAUUACUGGUAACUGCACUUUGAUGUAGGAAGACACAAUUUUCAUUGAGCAAGUGGCUAACCAAGGAGUAGAUGAACUUGUUCCUUUCUGCAGAUGAUAGCGCUGGUCAUAGAGCUGCAGGAGCUGAGAAGGGUCUGUAAAGAGACAUCCACACGACCUGUCUCCCCCCAAGGACCAGGGAGUGGCUGGAAAGAGCUGCUUUGCUUAAGCUAGGGCUGCCAACCCAACCCUCCUGGUUUGGCUCUGGCUCUCCCAGAGGCUUAGGCUUUCUCUCUCAACAAGCAGUUGAGCAAUUUUUUUGAUAAUUGAAUCAAUGCAUGAAAUAUAAACAAAGUUCUGUGUAGUAAUAAUUGUUUAUGCUUCUACAGUUGGCAUGGCCAAUACGUGCUACUAUAUCAGUGGUUCCAGUUAUCAUGCCAAAACCCAUGAUUUAGUUUGAAAGUCUCUGUAUAGGGCUGUGUGGGAGAACUGGAGGGAAUAGGGAGAGGCUGGAUGUCCUGGAGAGCGAGUGGACUUCUUUGGAUGGUACCUCCAGGAUCAUUGACAAAAGUAACUUUGAUCCUUGUAGGCCCAUAUCUCCACAAUCUAUGCUUUCCUUUACAAAACCAUGUCUGUUUGCAUAUGCACUAAAUCAUGUCUUUAUCACUUCCUGCUGUCUUGAUUAACUGAGUCACUGCAUAUUAAAGUGUGAUCUGAAGUACACCCUCAAGAACUCCUGAUAUCACCAAGUAUGUGGGCAGCAUUUGGUUUGUCAGUUUAAUAUUAAUAUUUGACUUCCUCAAAUAAAACUAUACCUUGGCCUCCUUUGAGUAUACCAGUUGGACAGUAAUAACACUACUGGCAAACAAUACCACACUAGGAUUUCACCCCCUCAUAUCCUUCACUUGUGUAAUGUAUGUACACAAUCUUAGUUGGAAAAAGAUAGUGAAAUGAGGCUGGGUGUGUGAGGGAAUUCAUCACUCUACCUUGAAUAGGUCCUGCUCAAUGUUAACUGAUCUGUUUGUUACCCCUCCCUCACAGUACGGGAGGUGUUUUCCUACAUACAGUCAUCAACCGAGUCUGACUUCUUGCCAGAAGAUGACAGCUAGCAAAGGUCCUUUUAGCUCAGUAGUCACAGAGGAGAGGAGACAACCACACCAAUGCCUCCUUGCCUUCAAAUGAUUGAGACGAACCCCACUAAUUCAG